rnacentral:lncRNA from 1 species
AGCAUUGGAACUUGUGCUCUAUUGUCAAAUACAUAUGAUAAUUAUGAUAUAUGAGAUUAUGCUAAAAAGGUUCAAGCUAAAGUGAGACGGAUGAGAUUGAAGAAACUGCCUGGAUGUAGUCGAAUAGAGGUUGAUUAGGGAUGGCAACGGGCCGGUUCGGGAUCAGGUAUGGCAAUACCAUCCUUGUCUAGCUCCCCAUCCCCACCUUCGUCCCCUCCCCUAUCUCGAUAAGAAUUUGAGGGGAAUCCCCAUCCCCUUCGGGGUGGCU